rnacentral:rRNA from 1 species
AGCAGUAGCCACGGUAAUACAGAGGGUGCGAGCGUUAAUCGGAUUUACUGGGCGUAAAGCGUGCGUAGGCGGCUUCUUAAGUCGGAUGUGAAAUCCCUGAGCUUAACUUAGGAAUUGCAUUCGAUACUGGGAAGCUAGAGUAUGGGAGAGGAUGGUAGAAUUCCAGGUGUAGCGGUGAAAUGCGUAGAGAUCUGGAGGAAUACCGAUGGCGAAGGCAGCCAUCUGGCCUAAUACUGACGCUGAGGUACGAAAGCAUGGGGAGCAAACAGGAUUAGAUACCCCCGUAGCCCCUGUCUCUUAUAC